rnacentral:rRNA from 1 species
UUCCAGAGAUGGAUUGGUGCCUUCGGGAACUGUGAGACAGGUGCUGCAUGGCUGUCGUCAGCUCGUGUUGUGAAAUGUUGGGUUAAGUCCCGCAACGAGCGCAACCCUUAUCCUUUGUUGCCAGCGGUCCGGCCGGGAACUCAAAGGAGACUGCCAGUGAUAAACUGGAGGAAGGUGGGGAUGACGUCAAGUCAUCAUGGCCCUUACGACCAGGGCUACACACGUGCUACAAUGGCGCAUACAAAGAGAAGCGACCUCGCGAGAGCAAGCGGACCUCAUAAAGUGCGUCGUAGUCCGGAUUGGAGUCUGCAACUCGACUCCAUGAAGUCGGAAUCGCUAGUAAUCGUGGAUCAGAAUGCCACGGUGAAUACGUUCCCGGGCCUUGUACACACCGCCCGUCACACCAUGGGAGUGGGUUGCAAAAGAAGUAGGUAGCUUAACCUUCGGGAGGGCGCUUACCACUUUGUGAUUCAUGACUGGGGUGAAGUCGUAACAAGGUAACCGUAGGGGAACCUGCGGUUGGAUCACCUCCUUACCUGAAAGAA